rnacentral:rRNA from 1 species
AUGGCACUCCGACGACCCUCAUUUCCUCCAUUCUUGUUACUUUGCUUCCACCUGCUGGCUCCAUUAUACACAACCUCCGAUGCAGCCGUGAGUUCACACAUGCCUCAAGCCAUGCAGUGUUCAACGUCUGGCAACUACAGCUCUGCCAGUGCCUACGCUGCCAACCUGAACCAGUUCCUUGCUUCGCUUCCCGAGAAGACCGUUUCCAAGAAUGGCGGCUUCUUCAACGGCACGGUCGGCGUGGGUGUGGGCACUGUGUAUGGCCUCGCGAUGUGCUCCGCUGACCACUCGCGCUCUGACUGCGGUGACUGCCUCGCGGCCACUGCUAGCAGCAGCGCUAAUGGUCUGCUGAACCGCUGCCCUGGGAGCACCACUGUGCUCGCCUGGUUUGACGCGUGCCUCGUCCGCUACUCAGACACCAACUUCUUUGGCACGGCUGAAUUAGGUGUUAUCUACACGUCGCAUGGUCCAACAUCCACGCAGCCAAAGCAGUACACUGACGACUUGGAGAGAAACUUAAACGUGGUGAUAAAGGCCGCAGUGGCCUCGCCUCAGAGAUUCGCGGCGUCGUCGACGUAUCCAUACACGUUGGUGCAGUGCACGUGGGACCUGCCGCCGGAACUGUGCAAGACGUGCCUGCACGUGUUGUUCGACAGUUGGUCCAAGGACUGGGUUUCCGUAGAUGGCAAGCGCAGGAGCUAUAGCUGUGCUGCUAGGUACAGCAACACCAGCUUCAUGGUUGUGACGUCCGGUGGUGCUCCUACGCCGCAAUUGGUAGAUCAAGCGGCCAGAUCAGAUACUGCUCAGUCCAGCGGCGGCAAAGACCAAGGUUCUCUGACAGCUGGCGUGGUGGGUCCUGUAGUUGGCCUAAUUUUGUUGGCUUGUGCAUGUUUGAUUUGGUAUCGACGGAAGGGCACGGCAGGGAAUGAACGAAAGUUUUUUCGUUUGCAAAACACAAUACAGACACAGACGGACACGCAAAAGCUUGCACACCCAAAUGCUCACAAAUUCACUUACCAACAAUUGGUGGACGCAACCCGUGACUUCACAGACACGCGAAGGCUUGGACAGGGUGCCUUUGGUGUUGUCUAUAAAGGUGCAGUGAUGGUGCAAGACAAAGAGGUGGACGUGGCUAUAAAAACGGCACUUGUUGUGUCAGAUGAAGCUAGGGCUGCCUUUAAGAACGAGGUUGAGAUUAUGAGCCCGCUGAACCAUUCCAACAUUAUACGUCUUGUGGGUUCGUGCGACGAAGAGGACAAUCUCUUACUUGUUUACGAACUAGUGGAGGAUCGCAACCUUCAGGCUCGGCUUUAUGGCCGUGGUGCUCGUGUGGACGCAGAACUAACCGGUGUAAGGGCUCGGGGUUCAAGCCUUGAUCUAGAUUGGCGGCAAAGGUAUAACAUACUGCUUGGAAUAACCUGGGGUCUUGAAUACCUCCAUGCUAAAUGCGCUAAAUGUGUCCUGCAUAGGGACAUCAAGCCAGGCAAUGUGAUGCUGGAUAGGGACUCCAAUGCUAAACUGUGUGACUUCGGGCUGGUGACGCAACUCACCCACGCAAUAACCUCACGCUCGACGAACAACAUCAUUGGAACACAAGUCUACAUGGACCCAGCAUACCGGAACACCGGGAAGAUAACUAAGGAAUCUGAUGUGUACAGCUUCGGUGUGCUGUUGCUUGAGGUUGUAUGUGGCGAGGAGCCAGUCCUAAUUGACGGCGCUGGGAAAAACAGCCUCAUCGAGAAGGUCCGAGAAUGUGAGAAGAGAAAUGCAAUUCUUGAUGCAGCUGACCAACAACUAAGGGGCGAGUUUGAUGAGGAAAUCAAAGCAGCACUAUCGAUUGGGCUCUGUUGUGUCGAAACAAGACGUGGUGACCGUCCAACAAUCCAAAUUGUGUUGGGCCGGUUAUUAAGCCUGACCGGCAAAUUAGCUUCCAAUAACCGCCAUCCAAACGCAGUGUGUGAUGAGGUGUGA